rnacentral:rRNA from 1 species
UGGGGGAAUUUCCGCAAUGGGCGAAAGCCUGACGGAGCAAUGCCGCGUGGAGGUGGAAGGCCUACGGGUCGUCAACUUCUUUUCUCGGAGAAGAAACAAUGACGGUAUCUGAGGAAUAAGCAUCGGCUAACUCUGUGCCAG